rnacentral:rRNA from 1 species
UAAUGUCUGGGAAACUGCCUGAUGGAGGGGGAUAACUACUGGAAACAGUAGCUAAUACCGCAUAACGUCGCAAGACCAAAGUGGGGGACCUUCGGGCCUCAUGCCAUCAGAUGUGCCCAGAUGGGAUUAGCUAGUAGGUGGGGUAACGGCUCACCUAGGCGACGAUCCCUAGCUGGUCUGAGAGGAUGACCAGCCACACUGGAACUGAGACACGGUCCAG